GCGAGUUAGCCUUUGAAAAAGGUACCAUUCUCUUUGUCUCAUCAAGAAGUAUGAUUUUCAUUUUUGAAUCUCGAUUUGGUUGAGUAUUGAAGAAAUUAUGAACGUUUAAAGUUUACCAAGUUUCCGGUGAGUUUUUCAGUUUUCUAGCGGACCAAUCACCUUUCAGGAUAUUUUGCGGCCAUCCCUGGCAAUCAUUGGGCUUCCAAAUAGGUAUAAUCUUAUUCUACACUUUAUUAUCUUCAUUUUGAUAUAUUAUGGGUCGAAUUUGAUUACGAAACGAUUGAGUUACAAAGCUUUGAAAAUUGCCCAAAAAAUUUUUAACGGAAGGACCAAAAUCAUGGAUGGUGGACAAUCUUAGGGACCAUAUCUAUUGAUUUGAAAUCUUAGGGACCAUUUCUAUUGAUCAUGCAAAUCUCAGGGACCAUUUUGUAUAAUAACCCAUAAUAAUAUACUACAGUGUUAGCGUUUGCAGUGAUCAUUGAACCCUUUGUCGAGCGAAAAAUAAUCAAGAAAAUUAUGGAGGUGACACGUAAACUUUUGGGUUAAAAGUACAAAAUUACCCUCGAGGCACACCAGGAUUCCCACGUGCAUGCAACAGACAAUAACGGCUCAAUCAAGGAAGAGUCAAAGGUGAUCAAAAUGGUAUUUAUUCAAAUCCUUCUCAUCACUCCUCAACAAAUCCUCAUUCAAAAGGUAACUCCCAAUUCCUAUUUAAUUUAGGAUUAAUUGCAAGACAUUUUUUCAUAUAAUAUCUUGCAAUUAUUCAUACAAUUUCACCAUAUAUGGCCAGACACUAUUCUCCAAAUAGGGCCGGCCACACCCUUAUAAAUAGCCCUAUUCUCCCACUAAAAAGCUAAGCCAUUUGCUACCUACAAACUCCUAAACACAUUCUUUUGAGGUGCAUUGUUGUCAAAGGAGAAGACGGUGAAAAUUUGCAUCCACAAAUUGGUGCUUUCAUUGAGAAUCUUGAUUCACAGGCUCAAAGAAGACUAUUGCAUUCAAAGUUUCUCAUUUCUCGUUCAUUUGUAGAUUUUUUGUACAUUUGUAUUCCUAAAUUUUUUUUUAUAAAGUUCUUUGAAUAAACGUAAAAGAAAAGUACAAUGACCAGAAAUUUGGAAACCACAACGACGGAACUUCCUACGUUCAAGGAUUUGAGAAAUCGAGGCAUAGCCCCACCACGACAAUCCACGAGGCUUA
rnacentral:lncRNA from 1 species